rnacentral:lncRNA from 1 species
CACUCUCCAAAGCCUGUUUCUGCGUCUCCGUCUUCUGCCUGUGACGUUUUUUAACUCUUUUGGCAGCUGGUCCCUCAGUGCUGAUUCCAGGACCAGGUACCUCAUUUUUCUGUGUAAUAACAUCGUCAACAAUAUUGUUUGUUUGAUUUUCAGACAAAGGGGCGGCAGAUUGAUUGGCUAGAAUAUCCUGAAUAUCCGUGUUGACCUCCAAGGGAGUUGUACCUUCGACGGAGGUACCAAUCUCCAAAGCCUGUUUCUGCGUCUCCGUCUUCUGCCUGUGACGUUUUUUAACUCUUUUGGCAGCUGGUCCCUCAGUGCUGAUUCCAGGACCAGGUACCUCAUUUUUCUGUGUAAUAACAUCGUCAACAAUAUUGUUUGUUUGAUUUUCAGACAAAGGGGCGGCAGAUUGAUUGGCUAGAAUAUCCUGAAUAUCCGUGUUGACCUCCAAGGGAGUUGUACCUUCAACGGAGGUACCAAUCUCCAAAGCCUGUUCCCGCAUCUUCCGCCUGUGACGUUUUUUAACUCUUUUGGCAGCUGGUCCCUCAGUGCUGAUUCCAGGAGCAGGUAUCUCAUUUUUCUGUGUAAUAACAUUGUCAACAAUAUUGUCUGUUUGAUUUUCAGACAAAGGGGCGGCAGAUUGAGUGGCUAGAAUAUCCUGAGUAUCCAUGUUGACCUCCAAGGGAGUUGUAUCUACCUCCAAGGGAGUUGUACCUUCAACCGAGGUACCAAUCUUCAAAGCCUGUUUCUGCGACUUCGUCUUCCGCCUGCGACGUUUGUCAACUCUUUUGGCAGCUGGUCCCUCAGUGCUGAUUCCAGGAUCAGGUACCUCAUUUUUCUGUGUAGUAACAUUGUCAACAAUAUUGUCUGCUUGAUUUUCAGACACAGGGGGGGCAGAUUGAUUCGGUAGAAUAUCCUGAAUAU